CCUACGGGAGGCAGCAGUGGGGAAUAUUGGACAAUGGGGGGAACCCUGAUCCAGCGACGCCGCGUGAGUGAAGAAGGCCCUCGGGUUGUAAACUUCUUUUAUUCGGGACGAAACAAAUGACGGUACUGAAUGAAUAAGCCACGGCUAACGACGGGCCAGCAGCGGCGGUAAUACGUAGGGGGCAAGCGUUAUCCGGAUUUACUGGGUGUAAAGGGCGUGUAGGCGGGAGAGCAAGUCAGACGUGAAAUUCCAGGGCUCAACCCUGGAACUGCGUUUGAAACUGUUCUUCUUGAGUGAUGGAGAGGCAGGCGGAAUUCCGUGUGUAGCGGUGAAAUGCGUAGAUAUACGGAGGAACACCAGUGGCGAAGGCGGCCUGCUGGACAUUAACUGACGCUGAGGCGCGAAAGCGUGGGGAGCAAACAGGAUUAGAUACCCGAGUAGUC
rnacentral:rRNA from 1 species